rnacentral:piRNA from 1 species
UGCUUGCUGGUCUUACGCACUGAUA